UUUAAUGAACACAUCGUCUCUCGAUGGGGUACAACGAAGCAAGAUGUGCGGGUGGGAGGAACACUUGCGAAAACGCCUCUUUUUCCUCCUCUGACUGCACUUCGGCGAGAAUGGGUGGGUAGGAGGAAGCACCACUCUCACAUACGAACGACGACACUCUGGCGGCAACGGGUGGCUGGGUGGAGGGAAGACAAGACCGUCUAGGUUUCGCGUAUGAAUGAUGGCAUUACGGCGGCACUCCAACAACAAUGGGUGGCUGGGUGGAAGGAAAAGGAGACACUCUAGCUUUCGCAUACGAAUGAUGGCACUACGACGGCACUUCAGCGACAAUGGGUUGCUGGAUGAAGGGAAGACGAGUCUCUCUCUAGUUUUCACGCUCGAGAUUCUCUCUCAAAGGUUCCUUAGAUUCGAAAUCUGAAAAUGAGAAAAUGAAACAAAAACUUAAAACCUCCCUCAAAUUCCAUUGUCACGUCAUUCUCAGUUUUUAAAAUUAUUAUCCACGUGCACCACUAAUAUUUUGACAUGUGUCCCGUGUGAAAAUAUUGUUGUUAAAAUAUUAUUUUCCAUUAAAAUAAUACUAAAAUUCUGAGCGUGAUGGUGUGAAAUGGAUUUUUGGUGUAUAAUAAAACAUGUUGCACUUACUUAAACAUUAGGUUUUAGAUUAUUCUUCAUGACUACCUUUUGAAGUUUAGAAUAUUGUUUGCAUGAGAUGAGACUGUAUUUUCCGUAAAGAGCAAUAGCAUACCAUGACGAAAGUUGUUAUAUACUACUAUAAAUCAAUAAAAAGAAUUAUAAAAUCAGCAAACCUCAUAAGAGAGACAUUGUUCUUGUAUCUUUCCACUUAACAGUCUUGAUAGUGAUAAGCUUACCAAACCAGUAGAGUUUCUACUCUCUCCCAAUAUUAACUAUUGUAUAGAAUAGCUAAUAUCUAAUUUUCUAAACUACUCAUACUGCACCACGCCUUUAAUGAAUAUAAUUAUCAAAUAUUUUAUAAAAACGUAUAGCAGUAUAUUAAUGCUUAUUUUUAAAUAAUAAAAUCCAUAAUUAUGCUACUG
rnacentral:lncRNA from 1 species